rnacentral:rRNA from 1 species
CCUANGGGUGGCAGCAGUAGGGAAUUUUCCACAAUGGGGGCAACCCUGAUGGAGCAACGCCGCGUGCAGGAUGAAGGCCUUAGGGUUGUAAACUGCUUUUAUGUGCGAAGAUUAUGACGGUAACACAUGAAUAAGGGUCGGCUAACUCCGUGCCAGCAGCCGCGGUCAUACGGAGGACCCAAGCAUUAUCCGGAAUUACUGGGCGUAAAGAGUUGCGUAGGUGGCAUAGUAAGCGAAAUGUGAAAGCGUACAGCUCAACUGUAUAGACAUAUUUUGAACUGCUAAGCUUGAGGACGAGAGAGGUAGAUGGAAUUCCCAGUGUAGGAGUGAAAUCCGUAGAUAGUGGGAGGAACACCAAUGGCGUAGGCAGUCUACUGGCUCGUUUCUGACACUAAGGCACGAAAGCGUGGGGAGCAAACGGGAUUAGAUACCCUGNUANUC